UAACAAACCAUAUUUAUAAAUAUGACGAUGAACAUUAUAUUGAAAUCUGCACAUGUAAACUAUGGCAAUGAACCAGAUAUUGAAAUUGAAAAUUUUAUAGCAUGGAGAGAUGGCAAUGUAACUAAACUCUCGGACCUAAAGACAACGAGAAUUGGAAGAUUCACAUACACCUAGAGCAUCGGUCGCCGGAGCAUCUAAAAUUCGACUCUCGUGCGCGCGCCGCGGCCGCCGCACGGUUCAUCGAUUCACAUUGUGGAUUUAACCGAGUCGACGUUCACGAAAUCCCUUAUGAUCUCUACCAUUGCCUGGGCCUUGGCCGGGUCGAACAGCUCCACCCCGUGCACCCGCCCUCGCCGAAACUGGUCGUCACCGGCGCCC
rnacentral:lncRNA from 1 species